rnacentral:rRNA from 1 species
GCCUUCAUGAAGCCGGAAUUGCUAGUAAUGGCAGGUCAGCAUACUGCCGUGAAUACGUUCCCGGGCCUUGUACACACCGCCCGUCACACCAUGAGAGUUGGGGAUACCCGAAGCCUGUGAGCUAACUUUAUAAGGAGCAGCAGUCGAAGGUAGAAUCAAUGAUUGGGGUGAAGUCGUAACAAGGUAGC